GGAGAGUUUGAUCCUGGCUCAGGAUGAACGCUAGCGGCAGGCCUAACACAUGCAAGUCGAGGGGCAGCACGGUGUAGCAAUACACUGGUGGCGACCGGCGCACGGGUGCGUAACGCGUAUGCAACCUACCCAUAACAGGGGGAUAACACUGAGAAAUUGGUACUAAUACCCCAUAACAUCAGGACCGGCAUCGGUUCUGGUUGAAAACUCCGGUGGUUAUGGAUGGGCAUGCGUUGUAUUAGCUGGUUGGUGAGGUAACGGCUCACCAAGGCAACGAUACAUAGGGGGACUGAGAGGUUAACCCCCCACAUUGGUACUGAGACACGGACCAAACUCCUACGGGAGGCAGCAGUGAGGAAUAUUGGUCAAUGGACGCAAGUCUGAACCAGCCAUGCCGCGUGCAGGAAGACGGCUCUAUGAGUUGUAAACUGCUUUUGUACGAGGGUAAACGCAGAUACGUGUAUCUGUCUGAAAGUAUCGUACGAAUAAGGAUCGGCUAACUCCGUGCCAGCAGCCGCGGUAAUACGGAGGAUCCAAGCGUUAUCCGGAUUUAUUGGGUUUAAAGGGUGCGUAGGCGGUUUGAUAAGUUAGAGGUGAAAUACCGGUGCUUAACACCGGAACUGCCUCUAAUACUGUUGAACUAGAGAGUAGUUGCGGUAGGCGGAAUGUAUGGUGUAGCGGUGAAAUGCUUAGAGAUCAUACAGAACACCGAUUGCGAAGGCAGCUUACCAAACUAUAUCUGACGUUGAGGCACGAAAGCGUGGGGAGCAAACAGGAUUAGAUACCCUGGUAGUCCACGCAGUAAACGAUGAUAACUCGUUGUCGGCGAUACACAGUCGGUGACUAAGCGAAAGCGAUAAGUUAUCCACCUGGGGAGUACGUUCGCAAGAAUGAAACUCAAAGGAAUUGACGGGGGCCCGCACAAGCGGAGGAACAUGUGGUUUAAUUCGAUGAUACGCGAGGAACCUUACCCGGGCUUGAAAGUUAGCGACGAUUCUUGAAAGAGGAUUUCCCUUCGGGGCGCGAAACUAGGUGCUGCAUGGUUGUCGUCAGCUCGUGCCGUGAGGUGUCGGGUUAAGUCCCAUAACGAGCGCAACCCCUACCGUUAGUUGCCAUCAGGUCAAGCUGGGCACUCUGGCGGGACUGCCGGUGUAAGCCGAGAGGAAGGUGGGGAUGACGUCAAAUCAGCACGGCCCUUACGUCCGGGGCUACACA
rnacentral:rRNA from 1 species